UUCCAUGGACAAGAGGAAAAGAGUCCAGACCGCCAAAUAAGGUCCCAAAAUCUAUACUAAGUGUAAAAGGAUGUAGAGAUGCAUAGACAACUAGGAUGUUGGCUCAGAAGCAGCCAUCAUUUAAAGAGUGCGUAACAGCUCACUAGUCGAGUGCCUCCGCGCCGAAAAUUUACCGGGGCUAAGUAUAGUACCGAAGUUGCGGAUUUGAGAAAAUGGUAGGGGAGCGUUCCAUCAUCGGCGAAGCGAUACCGAAAGGAGUCGUGGAGAGGAUGGAAGUGAGAAUGCCGGUGUAAGUAACGAUAUUGGGUGAGAAUCCCAAUCACCAUUAGACUAAGGUUUCCUGGGGAAGGUUCGUCCGCCCAGGGUAAGUCGGGACCUAAGGCGAGGCUGAGAAGCGUAGUCGAUGGACGACAGGUUGAUAUUCCUGUACCCGUAUAUAAGUGAAGUAAUGACAGAGAAGGCUAGAUCGGCUACCUACUGGAUGGUAGUACAAGCGAGAUAGCAGGUGCAAAGGCAAAUCCGUGCACGUAAUGCAAGGCGUGAAGUGGAGCGAACGAGCAAUCAAGUAGCGAAGCGAUUGAUGCCAGCUUUCAAGAAAAGUUGCUAACAUAAUUAUAUGCGGCCCGUACCGAGAACGGACACACGUGGUCAAGGAGAGUAUCCUAAGGUGAGCGAGUGAACUGUUGUUAAGGAACUCUGCAAAAUUACUUCGUAAGUUCGCAAGAAGAAGUGCUACAGCGAUGUAGCCGCAGUGAAGAGGCCCAAGUAACUGUUUAACAAAAACACAGCUUUAUGCUAAGUCGUAAGACGAUGUAUAUGAGGUGAUGCCUGCCCAGUGCUGGAAGGUUAAAAGGAGAUGUGCAAGGAGAAGCAUUGAUCUGAAGCCCCAGUGAACGGCGGCCGUAACUAUAACGGUCCUAAGGUAGCGAAAUUCCUUGUCGGGUAAGUUCCGACGCGCAUGAAUGGUAUAAUAAUUUGGGCGCUGUCUCGACAGCAGACUCGGUGAAAUCUUAAUACCUGUGAACAUGCAGGUUACCCGCGACUAGACGGAAAGACCCCAUGGAGCUUUACUAUAGCUUAAUAUUGAAUAGUUGAAAAUCCUGUACAGGAUAGGUAGGAGACUAAGAAGUUUGUGCGUCAGCAUGAAUGGAGUCAACGGUGGGAUACUACUCUUGAU
rnacentral:rRNA from 1 species